rnacentral:rRNA from 1 species
UACGUAGGCAGCAAGCGUUGUUCGGAGUUACUGGGCGUAAAGGGUGUGUAGGCGGUCUUUUAAGUUUGGUGUGAAAUCUCCCGGCUCAACUGGGAGGGUGCGCCGAAUACUGAAGGACUAGAGUACGGGAGAGGAGAGUGGAAUUCCUGGUGUAGCGGUGAAAUGCGUAGAUAUCAGGAGGAACACCGGUGGUGUAGACGGCUCUCUGGACCGUAACUGACGCUGAGACACGAAAGCGUGGGUAGCAAACAG